AAUUGUCAGCUAAGUGGCGCACGGGUGAGUAAUGUAUAGAUAACCUGCCCUUAAGAAAGGAAUAACAGUUGGAAACGACUGCUAAUGCCCUAUAUGCCUUUAAUACAUAAGUAUGCAAGGGAAACGCUUUAGAGCUUAAGGAUGGGUCUGUAUGGUAUCAGCUUGUUGGUGAGGUAAUGGCUCACCAAGGCUAUGACGCCUAACUGGUUUGAGAGGAUGAUCAGUCACACUGGAACUGAGACACGGUCCAGACUCCUACGGGAGGCAGCAGUGGGGAAUAUUGCACAAUGGACGAAAGUCUGAUGCAGCAACGCCGCGUGGAGGAUGACACAUUUCGGUGCGUAAACUCCUUUUAUAUAGGAAGAUAAUGACGGUACUAUAUGAAUAAGCACCGGCUAACUCCGUGCCAGCAGCCGCGGUAAUACGGAGGGUGCAAGCGUUACUCGGAAUCACUGGGCGUAAAGAGCGUGUAGGCGGGUAUAUAAGUCAGAAGUGAAAUCCAAUAGCUCAACUAUUGAACUGCUUUUGAAACUGUAUACCUAGAAUGUGGGAGAGGUAGAUGGAAUUUCUGGUGUAGGGGUAAAAUCCGUAGAGAUCAGAAGGAAUACCGAUUGCGAAGGCGAUCUACUGGAACAUUAUUGACGCUGAGACGCGAAAGCGUGGGGAGCAAACAGGAUUAGAUACCCUGGUAGUCCACGCCCUAAACGAUGUACACUAGUUGUUGUGAGGCUCGACCUUGCAGUAAUGCAGUUAACACAUUAAGUGUACCGCCUGGGGGAGUACGGUCGCAAGAUUAAAAC
rnacentral:rRNA from 1 species